AUUCAAGGAUGAGGCAGAGAUGUUUUUUUCCUGGGCUUGAUCUUGAAGGACUAGAGCUGCCAUGGUCAUCUCACCUUAUUACCAUGUGUGCACAGUAAGGUUACCCACAAAGAGAAAAUGGACUUAAAGACAUGUAGGGAGAGAACUCAAGUCCUGGGAAGCCUUUUGAGCUUUACUUAAAGUAACUGGGCAGGUUUACCCAUACGUGGUUAGAUACAUUUAUUAACAUGUGUAUGUGUGUGUGUGUGUGUGCACACCCUUGCACAUGUGUGCCAUGUGUAAUUACCAGUUAAAGGCCUAUCAACUGUGUAGGUUCAAUCUCCUCCCAGUUAAGGGCCUUAGGCCCUGGGAUCUGGGCUCAGCAUUAGAGAAUGGGCCCAAGGCUGAAGACACCACUAAAAGUCAAGCAGAAAUUACAAUAGAGGCAUGGAUGAAGCAAGGGGGCAGAAAAUGGCGGGGAGGCCACAGAACCACUAGAGAGCCAAGGCCAUAGCCCAAGGGAUGAGAAUGGGGCCUGCAGAGAGGCGCUGUACUGCCGGCCUCUGGCUGUGGUACCUGCCACAGGGAAUCUCGGAACUCUGCAGUAGGUGAGGAGGAAGUCAUGAAGGGUGCUGGGCCAGGAAGAUAUAGAAUGAGGACAGUGUAUUGUGCCAUAUUUGACUAAAUGAUGGAUGCUGACAUGUUGGUUUAUUAAUAAACCAAAACACAACCUAAAAGGAGUUGGUCUUUGGGGGCUGAACCCACUGGGACUCUCCAUUCACCAGUGGACCACAUUCUGUUAUGGUUUUUCCAGUGGUCAUGUAUGGAUGUGAGAGUUGGACUGUGAAGAAAGCUGAGCGCCAAAGAAUUGAUGUUUUUGAACUGUGGUGUUGGAGAAGACUCUUGAGAGUCCCUUGGACUGCAAGGAGAUCCAACCAGUCCAUUCGGAAGGAGAUCGGCCCUGGGAUUUCUUUGGAAGGAAUGAUGCUAAAGCUGAAACUCCAGUACUUUGGCCACCUCAUGUGAAGAGCUGACUCAUUGGAAAAGACUCUGAAGCUGGGAGAGAUUGGGGGCAGGAGGAGAAGGGGACAAUAGAGGAUGAGAUGGCUGGAUGGCAUCACUGACUCGAUGGACGUGAGUCUGAGUGAACUCUGGGAGUUGGUGAUGGACAGGGAGGCCUGGCGUGCUGCGAUUCAUGGGGUUGCAAAGAGUUGGACACGACUGAGUGACUGAACUGAACUGAACCGAUGAUUAAUGAUGUUGACGUCCUUCUAGACUAUUGAUUCAAUCUUCUUACUAGUAGCUGGUCUGUUCACAUUUUCUAUUUAAUCAUGAUUAUGUCUUGGUAGGUUGUAUAUUUCUGUGAAUUUAUCCAUUUCUUCUAGGUUGUUCAGUUUGUUGAUGUUUCAUAGCAGCCUCUUAUGAUCCUUCAUAUUUAUGCUGUAUCAUUUGUAAUAUUUCCUUUUUAUUUUUGAUAUUAUUUGAGUCCUUUUUUUCUUGGUUAAGUCUAGCUAAAGACUUGUCAAUUUCAUUUAUCUUUUCAAAGAAUCAGCUCUAAGUUUGAACUUCUGUACUGUCAUUUUGGUCUCUAUUUCUACUGUAACCUUUGUUAUUUCCUUCCUUCUACUAACUUUGAGUUUCCUUUGUUCUUCUUUUUCUGCUCCCUUGAG
ensembl:lncRNA